GAUUUCUGGUUGAGCGAUUUUGGCCCACUUUGGUUUACAAGGUUGCGUGCCGAUUUCGCCAUCCAUCCUUCGAGAAAACACUUCUGCCCGCAAGGGUUGGAACGUGCUAUCUCGAUCUUUUACUUUGAAAAAAUUAGAGUGUUUAAAGCAGGCUUUUGCUAUGAAUACAUUAGCAUGGAAUAAUAAUCUAGGACUUCGGUUCUAUUUUGUUGGUUUCUAUAACUGAAGUAAUGAUUGAUAGGGAUAGUUGGGGGUGCUAGUAUUGGCCGGCCAGAGGUGAAAUUCUUGGAUUCGGUCAAGACUAACUUAUGCGAAAGCAUU
rnacentral:rRNA from 1 species